rnacentral:tRNA from 1 species
GGAGAGGUGUCCGAGUGGUUUAAGGAGCACGCCUGGAAAGCGUGUAUGUGGGGCAACCUGCAUCGAGGGUUCGAAUCCCUCCCUCUCCGCCA